GACAGAGGGUGCAAACGUUGUUCGGAAUUACUGGGCGUAAAGCGCACGUAGGCGGCUUUCUAAGUCAGGGGUGAAAUCCUGGAGCUCAACUCCAGAACUGCCUUUGAUACUGGAGAGCUCGAGUCCGGAAGAGGUGAGUGGAACUCCGAGUGUAGAGGUGAAAUUCGUAGAUAUUCGGAAGAACACCAGUGGCGAAGGCGGCUCACUGGUCCGGUACUGACGCUGAUGUGCGAAAGCGUGGGGAGCAAACAGG
rnacentral:rRNA from 1 species